AGUACCUCCUAGGUCACCCAUCUUUGGCUUCAACAUACAAAACUUGUGUCAGAUACCCUUUAUGGUUGAGGUAUUCCCACAUGGUACAGAGAAGAACUUUCAAAAAGAUUAUGGAAUUUGGGCACCAACAUAAUUUCCAUCUAACUAUGAAGGUCUUGCAGAGGACGUGGUGAUCAGUCAUCCGUCUCGUGCUGAAAUCUCCUGUUACACGGACCUUCUGGCAAUUCCAUUUUCUCUUCAUUUUUUCAUAAAACAUCUGAGAUGAGCCCAGUACCUACUGCACUGACACACUGCAACCAUGGCACUUCAGCCCUGGGCUGACAGACAAUUCUGUCUGCAGUAGCUCAAAAGCAGAUGUAUUCAAGUGUGUGUCUUUUUCUAAGCUGCUUUGAUGAUGACAUCUAUGAAUUUGUUUUCUCCCUGUUAUUAUGCACUAUAAAAUCUCACUUUAUCUUUACUUCCUGUUUUAAAAUGAUUAGAAGUCUAAUGUAUUUUGAUAACAUGAAAUGUGCCAGCUGGGCUGAAAUGAAAUUUGCUUUGAUUCAA